CCUACGGGUGGCUGCAGUCGAGAAUCAUUCACAAUGGGGGAAACCCUGAUGGUGCGACGCCGCGUGGGGGAAUGAAGGUCUUCGGAUUGUAAACCCCUGUCAUGUGGGAGCAAAUUAAAAAGAUAGUACCACAAGAGGAAGAGACGGCUAACUCUGUGCCAGCAGUCUCGGUAAUACAGAGGUCGCAAGCGUUGUUCGGAAUCACUGGGCGUAAAGCGUGCGUAGGCUGUUUCGUAAGGCGUGUGUGAAAGGCGCGGGCUCAACCCGCGGACGGCACAUGAGACUGGGAGGCUUGAGUAAGGGAGGGGGAAGCGGAAUUCUCGGUGUAGCAGUGAAAUGCGUAGAUAUCGAGAGGAACACUGGUGGCGAAGGCGGGUUCCUGGACAUUAACUGACGCUGAGGCACGAAGGCGAGGGGAGCGAAAGGGAUUAGAUACCCGAGUAGUC
rnacentral:rRNA from 1 species